GGCAAUAAAUAUUUAUUUUGACAUACGACACUAUGUUAUAAACAAAAUUGGCAAAUAUUAAGCAAUUAAUAUGUGCGAAAAUAAAGUUUGAAAAUUGAUAAGUUUUGAAUAGGAAUUUUUAUUUUAAAAAAUGUUUGUUUCUUUAUAGGGAUGAUGCCACGAUAUUAUUGAUCGUGCUCCUCCACCAUAGAAACAAUUUUGAUUUGAGGUCGGUCUAAAAAUAGUUAUGUUUUGAAAAAUGAUUUAAAAUAUUUAGUUCACACGUAGGCACAUAAACAAUUACAUAUAAAUGCACAUAAUUCUUUUUGAAAUUCAUGGGAAGUGGUACUUCCGGGGACGCAUCGGUUUUAAAAAAUUGGAACUAGACCUCGUAGUUCCUUUGACUUUCCCACUAACGAUAGGUUAGGAGAUAGUACUUUAUAAUUUAUUUCAAAAUAAAGUAGAGUCAUAAUCAAUCCAAAAUUUAAAGAAAGAUUGAAUAAUGACUUUUUUUAAAAAAAAAAUUAUGUUACAAGGUUUUGAAAUGUUUUUUAAAGCCAAGUUAAAUGCAUGAAAUGAUUCUAAGUUAGUAUUAAGAAGAAGAAAAAAUAUUGCAUCACGAAUGUGGAAAACAAAUAAGAUUACUAGUUAAAUAAUAUUAAUUAAUUUUAGGGGAGGACUCAAAUAUGCACAAACAAAUUUUAUUCUCUUAUUUACAAACCUAUAGACAUGAUUUCUAGGUGUUCAAAAAAAGUAACAUAUAUAUGCAUGAUUUCGUAAAUGGUAUGAACAAAUUAAACCUUAGACAUGGUUUCUACAUGAUAAGACAAAUGAGAAUUUAUAAUAUUUUAACAUCUAACAACCUACUAGAUUUAUUAGGAUUUGAUUUUAACAUUUAAAAAUUAAUGGACUCUAGUUCUUAUUUUUUUAAGGCUUGUUAACAAAAACGUCAAGCAAAUUGAAAAUUGAUUAGAUUAUAACACCUACAAAUAUCAAAUCUAGGUGGUUAAAGACAAACCUAUAGGCAUGAUUUCUAAAAAAAAUAAUGAGCAAGUAAGCAUAUAAAUCCCCCUCCCCUAGACGACCCCCAAAUAACUUUAUUAUAUGAUCUUAGGGUUACAAUUGUUACAACAUUCGAAUAAAUAAAAUAGCGGAAAAAAUAAAAUAUAUAGACAUAUAUACAUUCAAACAAAUAAACAAAUUCUUCUUCAGUUAAUCUUCAACUUGAACUUCAAAUAUGAAACCUGUUAAACAAAACAAAAUGAUUCACCUUGUACUCGAACAAAGCAGGAAAAUAGCGGAGAAAAGCACUUGAAUAUUUGCCGAAAUAUUAAUAUAUUGUUUAAAGUAGCAAGAGAGCAAUGAGAGAAGGGAGAGUGAUGAGAGAAUUUUUGGUUGAAAGUGAAUGGGUAUAUUUUAGAGAAUGAGAGGAGGGGGUCCUUUUUAUAUAACAAAGAGGGGUAACAAAUAAGGGGAAAAAUGUUUAAAGGAAUCAAUUAAUUAUCACAUUUUCCUUAUUUUAAAGGAGAGCCAAAUCAGAAAAUUUUAAAAUAUUUCAUUACCAAAUAUAAACAAGUAUAUAAUAACGAAUAGGAAAAUAGUAAUAUUUUCCCUUAAAUAAAGAAGAGACAAAUCAUAUUUUUUUUAAAAAUAUUUCAUUACCAAAAAUAAAUAAGUAAGAAAUACAAUUAGGAACAUUAACAUUAUUUUCCUUAAAUAGUGAAGAUCCAAAUUAAACUAUUUUAAAUUAUAAUUUUCCAGCUAUAUGAGUAGUAAGAAUCUAUAUAAUAUGCAAUUAACGGAAGAAGGAUCAAUUAAGUUAUAAUAAAAGGGAGGAAAUUAACACAAUUAUUUAUUUAUUUCUUUUAUUAAAAAUCCAAUGCCAAGUUACUGUUAAUCAACAUUGCACAUGUUUAACUCAAGGGAAAUUAUUUUAGGGAAGACAAUAUCACAUAACUUAAAGUCAAAGCCAACAUACAACUUCAUAUAAUUUUUACCGUAUAUAGACAACUAAUAAUCAACCACACUUAAUAAAGUAAAGUCAAGUCAGAAAUUGCAAACUCAUUUAAUUUUUAUUUUUAAAAAAAAAAACGAAUCAAAUCUAAGCUAAAGGAAUGAUCCUUCAAAGAGUGAGUUAUCACUCCCAAUUAAUAGCUGAAACCAGGCACCAUCAAUCACAAUAAUAUUGGAACCCAUAAUAUGUAAUAUCUAGGAAAAUAGCUAAGUUAACCGUCAUUCCAAGUCAAAAUGGACAAUAUUUCAAUUACACACCAAGUCUAAAAAUCAGAAAAUCACAGAUUUAAGAUCAAGAUAACAUGCAUAAAAUUUAUUCAUUCAGGCAGUCAGACAACCAAUUUUGUAGAAGAAGAACAAAUCUAUUAAAAGGUGAAAUGAUAUUUUAGGAAAAGAUUACCCGGACGGAUCUGUUGAGAUCCGUCAUUUCGAUCAAAACCCGGUCUAUCACCGGAGUUUUUUGGCUGAAGAUGCUAUGAUUUUGUUGUUGUUGCUGUGUUGUUUCGUAGCUAUUGCUGCUCCUGGUCCUAGUAAAUGAAAGAGGAAAAAAGGAAGGAGAAGAGAGGAUAAUACUUACCGGAGUUCCGCCAUCUCCGUGCAGCUGCUGGCCAGAUUCGCUGCUCGAGCGUUGCCAUUCGAAGCGGGCUGUGCAGGGCUACUGGUCUUGUUGUCUUUGCCAGCGGGAGCUUCUGCCAACAAUGGUGACCCUCGCGAUCGGCUGCUGGACGAAGCAAAUGUUGCUGCUCACCUAGCGCUGCUAUCAUUGCUAUUGAUUACCUCGCUUGGCACUACUGCUUCUUUGAGAAAAAGAGAAGAACAGGAGACAGGGAGAGGGAGAAGCACAGAGAUGAGAGGAGAACAGCGAGGGGGACGCAGCCUGGCGGAAGAGAGGAGAUGGAGAAGAUGGAAGUUGCCGGUGGAGUUGGGAGGGGGAGAGAGAGAGAAAAGCGGUUGAUCUGAGGGAGAAGAGAAGAGAAGGAGGGAGAAUUAUUUUUAGGGAUUAGAGUCCUUUGGUGUUGAAGAAAGAGAAUGGGAGAUUUAAUCACAACCGUCGAUUUAGAUAGAGACGAAGGGUUAGGAUUCGAUCUAGGAUUUAUUAAUUAAAUAGACGGAUGAGAUCAAAAAAUGAUUUCUUGAAAUAAGAUGAGUUAGAUACGGAAUGGCUAAAAUUGCAAUAACAUUUGGCUAGAAUUGGAAUGAAAGAGAGGCUAUGAUUGUAAGAAAACUCUAAUUCAUGUGGCUAGAAUUGGAAGAAAUUGGAAUAGAAUAGGCUAGAAUUUAAAAUUUAAGGAAAGUGUAGGAAUUACUAUUUAAUUAAAAUACUACAUAUAUUAAAAUAUUUUUUAUGUAAUUGAAAAUCAUUUAAAUUUUAACAUUUGAAAUUCAUUAAUAAUUUUAAAAUAUUUUAAUAAUAUUUACGAUAAUUUUAUAGAAUAAAACAUACUAAAAUAUAUGACUUUCAAGCAAAGUCGAUUAAAAAUUCUAAAAUUUAAAAUACGUAUUCAAUCGAAUAGUAUUUCUAAAAAGUUCAAAGGUCGGUCAAAAUUGGGUGUCAACAGCUGCCCCUUGGUUGAUUGAGAAUGAAGAAUGAAUUGCCAGGCAACCAAUGUUGACUUAGUAGCCGAUUUUGUCCGACCGACGAGAGAUGUCAGUUGGAUCAAUUAAAACGAUAUAGAGUUGAAAAAAGGUACGACCGAGACUUUGGUUUUAAGUCGCCUACAUAUCUCUGGUUAUACGAGAAUCAGGUCGUGUGUAGUUCUAGAUUCAAGAGCAAAUGAAACUCUUAAAAAUUGAAAGAGCGCUAAGGUAUUUGAAAGGCACGAAAUCGGCUUGAAUGGAUAAGAAUAGAGUAACGAGAAAAGAGAGAUUGAGAGGCUAAAAGAGUAUGACAGAGAAUCGAGAAGAGCAUGAUAGAGUAAGGCUAUCAGCCUUUGAGCGAGGGUUCGGAGUAUGAAAAACGAAGAAUUGAUAGGGUCAUUGUUGUGAUAGAGGAUAGCGUGAUAAUUGUAAUCAAGGGCGAUCGAUCAUAUCUGCAAAUUCUAGAUAAAAUGUUAGCUUAUAAAUAGAUAAAGUAUGACCAAUAAUAAUAAAAUAUGAGUUCUAAAUAGAAAAGAGGUGAUAAAAAGCGUAACUGUUUGAGACGUACUGCAAGCCUUGAUAGUCUGUAACUUCUUGAAGGAUUGAACCCAUCUCUGAAGAAUGACGUCAAACUCCAAUAGAUUUGAUACUAUAAAGAUAUAACAGUAUAGACGAAAAUAUCUAGUUAUAAGGAAAGUCUAAACGUCAUUUUAAGGCAGACGAGCCUAAGUGUCGUUUUAAGGCGGACAACCUAAAUAUCUUAUAAAGCGGACGAACAUAAAUGUAUUAUGAGGCGGACAAGCCUAGAUGUCCUUUUUAAGGUGGACGACCUAAAUGUCCUAUAAGAUGGACUAACCUAAAUGUCGUUUUAAUGCGGACGAGCCUAAAUGUCGCAUUGUAAGGCGGACGAGCCUAGAUGUCACAUUGUAAGGCGGACGAGCCUAGAUGUCGCAUUGUAAGGCGGACGAGCCUAGAUGUCGCAUUGUAAGGCGGACGAGCCUAGAUGUCGCAUUGUAAGGCGGACGAGCCUAGAUGUCGCAUUGUAAGGCGGACGAGCCUAGAUGUCGCAUUGUAAGGCGGACGAGCCUAGAUGUCGCAUUGUAAGGCGGACGAGCCUAGAUGUCGCAUUGUAAGGCGGACGAGCCUAGAUGUCGCAUUGUAAGGCGGACGAGCCUAGCUGAAGACAUAGAAAGUCACAGUGGCGAGUUGAAUCCGAAGAUAUCUUCAUGGUAGCCUGAAUGAUUGCGAAACAAUAGUUCGAGUAGCCAAGAAUUUGCUGUAGCCUUUGUGUGUAAGCAAAGGAACAGCCGUUCAGAAGGCGACUUUGUCUGUAAUCUGCAUAACUGUAACUUGUAGUAGAGUAAUUAGAGCAAAAUAAGCGGUGAAUGUAAACAUGAUGCAAUUCCCAUGUUUACCAUGAAUGUUUGCCUUAAGAUCGUGAAAAAAUGACGUCUUAGGCUAUGAUGUCUAGGGCCAUGAUAUGCAGGGUGUAUCCUCAGGUCAUGAAAAUGUUGUCUGUAGGCCAUGAAAAUGACGCCUUUAGACUAUGACACCGUCGGAUCAUGAUAGACAGAAAUUAAACCCUUAGGCCAUGAUAUGAUGUCCGCAGGCCAUGAGGAUGAUGCCUUUAGACUAUGACGCCUUAGGAACAUGAUAUGCAUAAAAUAAGUCCUCAGGCCAUGACAUGAAGUCCGCAGGCCAUGAAAGAUGACGCCUUUGGAGGAUGACGCCUUUGGAAUAUAACUAAUGAGUAAAGAGAGCGUAUCUGUUUUUUGACAUCUGUUGAUACUCUUGUGACUUGAUUUGAUUCGGGCGCAUGUAAACUUCGAGCACGAUGCAAUCUUGAGCUUAUGCAAACUUCGGGCACAAUGCAGUCUCAGGCACGAUGCGAUGGUGCAUUUCUUCGGGCACAUGCAAUAUCGAGCACAUGCAAUGAUGCAUUUCUUAGGGCACAUGCAAUAUCGAGCACAAUGCGAUGAUGCACUUCCUCGGGCACAUUGUAAUAUCGGACACAUGCAGUAUCGAGCAUAUGUAAUGGUGCAUUUCUUCGGGCACAUAAAAUAUCGAGCACAUGCAGUAUCGAGCAUAUGUAAUGGUGCAUUUCUUCGGGCACAUAAAAUAUCGAGCGCAUGCAAUAAUGCAAUUCUUCGAGCAUAAGUCAAUAUUGGGCAUAUGCGAUGAUGUGUUUCCUCGGGCACAUGAAAUAUCGAGCACAUGCAAUGAUGCAUUUCUUCGGGCACAUAAAAUAUCGAGCGCAUGCAAUAAUGCGGUUCUUCGAGCAUAAGUCAAUAUUGGGCAUAUGCGAUGAUGUAUUUCCUCGAGCAUAUGAUAUAUCGAGCACGUGCAAUAAUGUGUUUCUUCGGGCUCAUGCGAUAUCAAGCACAUGAAAUGACGCAUUUCGACAUUCUUGGGCAUAACAUAAUGAUGUAGUUCUUUGAGCAUAGGGUGAUAUCAAGCGUAGGUGCGAAAUGAUGCAAUAUCGGGCAUAAUGUAAUUUGUCAGCACAGUAGUUGCUUGAGGGCAUACAGUAGCUUGGGCGUCCGCCUUAUUGGAAGGAUCGAGUGUCAUAUGUCGGGCUCAAAUGUUGUGAUGUUGAUUGUUGCAGUUGCCUUUGUAUAUGUACCUGUAUUUUCUACAUUCAAAGAAAAAUAGUUAGUUUAAACGGGGGAAGGUUGAUCUGUAUCCGUGAUUUGGCGCAGCGUGCUCCUUUGGCUUGCCAUCCACACCUCUUCGAGCGUCUGUUUUUUUUCAUAAAAAAAGGGAAAGGAGAGAAAAAAAAAUAAUAAUAAAAACAAAACUUUCAAAGAUUUUGAAAUUAUCAUUUAAUAAAAGCUGAUGUCGAAUCUUUGACCAUGGCAUAGGUUGAGACUUUACAACGUCUGACUCAAAAGUGGAGCUAUCAUUUAAUCUUCGUUGUAAGCUGACUGCUUGUUGAGAAGAAACUUUUGGUGAAAUUUUGAGUUUACUCAAAAUUUCUGUCCCAGUAUGAAGAUGUGCCAGGAGAAGUCUUGAUGGAAUUUUUGAGAUCCUCUCAAAAAUUCUGCCCCAGUUAUCAGUAGAAAAGGGGGAAAUGAAAGUUUUAUUUAUAAUAAGACCGAACCCCAUAGGAGCGCCUACGUAUCCCCUCUUAAAUGGGAAUCAGGUCUGACGUAGUUCCAAAUUACAAAAGAGCAUGAAUAAAUCUCUAGAUGUAAUAUUUUUUCACAGAAUCUGAAUUGAUAGGUUUUGGCCAAACUUCUCCAUCCAUUUCUGCAAGUAUGAGGGCUCCGCCUGUCAGUACUCGAGAGACUAUGUAUGGACCUUGCCAAUUUGGUGAAAAUUUACCCUUUGCCUCGUCUUGAUUUGGAAAAAUCCGCUUCAAAACCAGUUGCCCAGGUGAGAAAUGUCUGGGUUUAACCUUCUUGUUGAAAGCUCUGGCCAUUCUAUUCUGAUAGAGCUGACCAUGACAAAUGGCGUUAAUUCUUCUUCCAUCUAUUAAUGCCAAAUUCUCUGCCCGACCUCGUAUCCAAUCAGCAUCACUCAACUUUGCUUCUUGGAUGAUCCUUAGGGAAGGUAUCUCAACUUCGGCGGGUAUCACAGCUUCGGUGCCGUAUACUAAGAAGUAAGGUGUGGCCCCUGUGGAAGUUCUGAUUGUGGUACGAUACCCCAGCAAUGCGAAAGGUAGCUUUUCCUGCCAGUGUUUGUGAUUAUCGAUCAUCUUGCGCAAUAUCCUUUUGAUGUUUUUGUUUGCCGCCUCAACAGCCCCAUUCAUCUGUGGCCUGUAUGCUGUAGAGUUUCGAUGACUGAUCUUGAACUUCUCACACAUUGAUCUCAUCAGGUCACUGUUUAGGUUAGUGCCGUUAUCGGUGAUGAUUGACUCAGGAAUUCCAAACCUACAAAUAAUGUUGUUUUUGACAAAGUCAUCCACAACUUUCUUUGUCACUGAUUUAUGGGAGGUGGCCUCAACCCACUUGGUGAAAUAGUCAAUUGCAACAAGAAUGAAUCUGUGCCCGUUGGAUGCUGUUGGUUCGAUUGGACCAAUGACAUCCAUGCCCCAUGCUGCAAACGGCCAAGGUGAACUAGUGACAUGGAGUUCGUUGGGAGGUACUCGAAUCAUAUCUGCGUGAGUCUGACAUUGAUGGCAUUUCUGGACGUAGCGAAUGCAGUCUGUCUCCAUAGUUAGCCAAUAAUAUCCUGAUCUCAGAAUCUUCUUUGCUAAUGUAAAACCGUUCAUGUGAGGGCCACAGGUGCCUGCAUGUAUCUCUUCGACCAGCCUGCGAGCCUCUCUUGCUUCGACGCAUCUUAGCAGUCCCAAAUCGGGAGUUCUCUUAUAGAGUAUUUCCCCACUUAAGAAGAAUUGGGUUGCUAACCUUCGAAUUGUACGCUUUUGUACACUUGUUGCAUCUUCUGUGUAUUCACCACUCUUCAAAUAUCUUCUAAUGUCAUCAUACCAGGGCUUUCCAUCAGGCUCUUCCUCAACAUGGAAACAAUAAGCUGGUUGUUCAUGUAUAUGAAUGUGAAUAGGAUCGAUGUAAUUGUGAUCAGGGUGUCGAAUCAUAGAAGACAGAGUGGCUAAGGCGUCUGCAAAUUCAUUUUGGACCCUUGGUACAUGUCUAAAUUCUGUUUUGACAAACCUUUUACAUAGCUUGUGCACGCACUCCAAAUAUGGUAACAACUUUCGAUUUUUUGUUGCCCAAUCACCUCGAACCUGAUGGAUCAAUAGGUCUGAAUCCCCUAUUAUUAUCAUUUCCUGGACAUCCAAGUCGAUCGCCCGUCGGAGACCUAGUAUGCAGGCUUCGUAUUCGGCCAUAUUAUUUGAGCAAAGGAAUCUGAGUUUUGCUGAUACUGGAUAAUGUUGCCCGGUGGGUGAGAUCAAAACAGCCCCAAUGCCGCAUCCAUUCAGAUUUUUAGCUCCAUCAAAAAACAUUCUCCAUCCAUCAUAUUCUUCAGAAAUGUCUUCUCCCACAAACGCCACCUCUUCAUCUGGGAAGUAGGUCUUCAGCGGUCUGUAAUCAUCGUCCACGGGAUUCUCUGCCAUAUGGUCUGCUAAUGCCUGUGCUUUCACUGCUUUUUGCGUGACAUACACUAUGUCAAACUCACUCAACAGUAUCUGCCAUUUUGCCAGUUUACCUGUGGGCAUAGGCUUUUGAAAGAUAUACUUCAAAGGAUCCAUCCUUGAAAUCAGAUAAGUGGUAUGCGAUGAGAGGUAAUGUCGUAACUUUUGGGCAACCCAUGUUAGAGCACAACAGGUACGCUCUAAUAGAGAGUAUCGGGCUUCGCACGAUGUGAACUUCUUGCUCAUAUAAUAUAUUGCUUGCUCCUUCCUCCCUGUUUCAUCGUGUUGUCCCAAGAUGCAACUGAAAGCAUUAUCCAAUACUGAAAUAUACAAAAGUAAUGGUCUACCUGACUCUGGUGGCACCAAUACAGGAGGAUUGGAUAGAUAAUCUUUGAUCUUGUCAAAUGCCUGUUGACAUUCACUUGUCCAUUUCACUGCAGCAUCCUUUUUUAACAGCUUGAAGAUAGGUUCACAGAUGACAGUAGACUGAGCAAUGAAACGACUGAUGUAGUUAAGUCGCCCCAAGAAACUCAUUACCUCCUUCUUGUUCUUUGGUGGGGGAAGAUCACGAAUGGCUUUGAUCUUUGACGGGUCCAAUUCUAUACCUCGACGACUGACAAUGAAACCUAAAAGCUUUCCAGCAGGCACACCGAAGACACAUUUUGCCGGAUUCAGUUUCAGAUUGUACUUGCGUAGCCUGGCAAAGAAUUUCCGUAAAUCCUCCAAAUGAUUUAAACUUUCCUUUGAUUUGAUGAUGACAUCAUCCACAUAAACCUCAAUUUCCUUAUGGAUCAUGUCGUGAAACAAAGUAGUCAUCGCUCUCAUGUACGUAGCUCCAGCGUUCUUUAGUCCAAAAGGCAUCACCUUGUAGUUAUAGACGCCCCACGGCGUGAUGAAAGCGGUUUUCUCAGCGUCGUCUUUGUGCAUCUCAAUUUGAUGAUAGCCGGCAAAGCAAUCCACAAAUGACUGAGUUUCGUGCUUAGCACAAUUAUCAAUCAGUAUGUGUAUGUUUGGUAAUGGAAAGUUAUCUUUAGGGCUAGCUUUAUUGAGAUCUCGGUAAUCCACGCAAACUCUGACCUUGCCGUCUUUCUUGGGCACUGGAACGACAUUUGCAAGCCAAGUUGGGUAUUCUGUCACUUGGAGUAUCCCAACAUCUAAUUGCUUUGAUACUUCUUCUUUGAUUUUCAAACUCAUCUCGGGCUUGUAUUUUCUCAGCUUCUGUUUUACCGGAGGACAUGCUGGAUCAGUGGGUAGUCGAUGGGCUACGAUUGCAGUACUUAGCCCUGUCAUGUCUGCGUAGGACCACGCGAAAAUAUCCUUAUUCUCUAUGAGAAACUCGGUAUACUCUUUCUUGUCUUCUUUUGUCAUAUGGAUGCUUACUCGGGUUUCUUGUAUCACCUCUGCAUUUCCCAAAUUCACCACUUCUGUCUCUACCAAAUUUGGAUUGGGUUUUUCCUCGAAUUCCUCAACCCUUUUGAUUAACUCCUCGGGAACCUCAUUGUCUUCGACUUCUUCUAAGUCAUUAAGGUUAAGCUGAGCAGUCUCAUUGUAUGCCACAAUCUCAGAUUCGACAUUUUUAUAAUGAAUUUUGCUGGUGAGAAGAAAGAAAAAAAAAAUAGUAAAAAUUAAAUACAAGACAAAAAAAAUGGGAAAAGAACUUUAUUGAUAAAGAUUUGAAAAUUUCAUAAGUCCUCAUUUGAAAGCAAUACAUGGGACGGGAAUUAAAACGUUUAUUAAAACUCCUUUAUUUGAAUUAAAAUUUGAUAGAAAAACAUCUUCCAAGGCUACCCAGAUGCUCGACGAGGUCUGGAUGGAGUCGAGGUCCAGUUGCUGACGCUGAUCUUUGCCUCCUUGCUUCCACUAGGGCCCCCUUUCUCCUCCUCGUUGAUCACGACGUUGCAAACUUUCCCUUCUUCUUUGGUUAGCGAUAACCCCUUCAAGUCGUCUGAGAUCUCAUCAAUAUUGUCUCCCAUGAAACCUGCUGAUCGAAAUGAUUGAUACAAUGGCGGUAUGGGUUUCUUCAAUGGAUAGUAGUACCCAUCUCUAGGUGGUCGCCAAUCGAGCCAUUCUUCGGUGGUGUAUUUAUAACCCAAACCAAAAGUGGUGGAAUGUCGAACAGGCUGUAUAGGUUCGACUAUCCCUUGUAAUUUAGCCCCCAAACCUUUCCCAAGCUCGAAACCGAACCAGGCCAUCAUAUCUAUGAUUUUUUGGCUGAACCAAGGUUGCAACUCAAUAUUACCAACAAGCUCCACUGUAUGGUACAUUUCGCCAUCCAUAUUCUCUCUUCCUUCAAUCGUGUAUACAGGAUGCCCUUUUUCCCCAUGGACCACAACCUCUUCGUAAUCCCAUUCAAACUUCAGGCAUUGGUGAAGAGUAGAUGGAACCGCUCCAGCCAUAUGAAUCCAUGGACGACCCAAUAAUAAGUUGUACGAUGAAGGGAUGUCCAAAAUUUGGAAAGCUAUGGGGAAAGUGACAGGACCAAUGAGCAUGUCCAAGGUUAUCUCCCCAAUAGUGCCUCUCUGAGAGCCGUCAAAUGCCCUCACAUUCAUCUUCCAUGUCUGAAUUUUUGCACUAUCCACACCCAGCCUCGUCAGUGUGCUCAGAGGGCAAAUGUUUAAACCUGAACCUGCAUCAACUAAUGCUUUGUUUAUCACCUUAUCCUGAUACUGAACCGAAAUGUACAAAGCUUUAUUGUGAGUUGUUCCUUCGAUUGGCAGUUCAUCUUUGUGAAAAGAUAUUUUGUAAGCCUCAAAGACCUGCCCCACCAUUUGGGAUACCUCUCCAUGAGUGAUGUUAGACGGGACAUAAGCUUCACCAAGGAUCUUCAGAAGGGCAUCUCGAUGAGUUUCGGAAGAUUGUAGUAACUCCAGAAUUGAUAUUUGGGAAGGGUUUUACUCAGCUGCUCAAUGACAGAGUAUUCUUUAGCUUUAACCUUUUUCCAAAUACUUUGAUCCUCGAGCUCUACGAUUGGCGCUUUGGAUUUGCUAGAGCUUCCCUGAACCAAAUUUUCAGAAGUGUAAAUUCUUCCAGAUCUGGUGACCCCUGUUGCAACAUCUGUCUCUUCCACAUUUGUUUCUCUUUUGUUGUAAUCCCAAGGUACAGCAUGUGUGUCACAUUGUAUGGGGAGGAUGCCUUAUAGACAGCGAAUGGUGGUCUGGGUGCAGCAACUUCUACUUCAAAUGGGGCGAGUCCUUGCACUAUUAGUGGUGCCUGGGCAGUGGUAGGCAUGGCUUCCUCUGUUUCGACGGCCCAGAUAGAUUCUUCCCAAUCCCAGACAUCACCAGCUUCCACCAUGUUGACUUGAUGGUUAGGGAGAGGAUUAUUCGCAACAUUCGGUGUAGGAUCCUUCAGUUGGAUGGUUUUUGUAUCAAUCAACAUUUGAACCUUAUCCUUAAGGGCUCUGCAAACUUCGGUGGUGUGGCCCUUCAUCCCAGAAUGGUAGGCGCAGACCUUGUUAGGGUCGUACCAUUUCGCGCGAACGUCCACAGGUAAUGCAGGAAUUGGAGAGACGUACCCAGCUUGUUUCAGUCUCUCAUAAAGUUGUGCUAUGGGUUCAGCCAAAGGGGUAUAGGUUUUUGUAGGUCUUCUUUCAUAGGAAGGUCUGUUUCGGUAAUUUGGUGUUUGAGUGGGUGGUGGAGUUUGGAAGUGUGUUGGUUGAACAUUAUAGACAGGAUAUGAGGCAUGCAAAUAUUGAGGAGGAGCAUUUUGGUAAUAUAUUGGCAUGGGUUGGGGAGAUAUAGGGGUGGAGCUGAGGGAUGUUGAGGGUAUGGGGUGUGAGGUAUGGGUGUGAGGGUAUGGGAUGGUGGUGGGUUUGUUGUCUUGUGCCUCAAAGGGGUCCUAGUUCCAUGAGCCAUCAUUACAGAACCUGUUUUCUUUCGACUCUCUGUCAUUCCACCAGAUUGCAGAGCCUUGUUGGUUGCUUGUAAAGCCUCCAAGUUGAUGAUAGUCCCAUUCUUUAUGCCUUCUUCAAUUCUUUCGCCUAGUUUGAUGAUUUCAGCGAAACUCUUUUCAGCCACCAGCAUCAUUCGGUCAUAGUAUUGUGGUUCUUGGGCACGGAUGAAAUAGUCUUUCAUUUGAGAUUCUUCCAUAGGGGGUCUGGCCCUAGCCGCCUCAGACCUCCAUCUUAUGGCAUAUUCUCUGAAGGAUUCACUUGGUUUCUUCUUUAGGUUCUGAAUGUAAAACCAAUCAGGCGCAUUUUCAAUAUUGAAACCAAACCUAUUCAUGAAGUCAGUUGCCAUAUCAACCCAUUUUAUCCAUUUCCGCGAGUCUUGCUCAAUGUACCAUGAUAGGGCCUCCCCAGUAAGACUCCUCAUGAACAACUUCAUGAGUAUCCUCUCAUCUCCCCACCCCUACAAGUUUGUCGCAAUACAUUCGUAGGUGGGCUUUGGGAUCCCCAAUGCCAUUGAACGUCUCAAACUUCGGAAGCUUGUAUCCUUCGGGCAGUUCCACAUCAGGAUGCAUGCACAGAUCCUCAUAGCCCAAUCCUCCAACCUUUUGUUUCCUUCCACGUGUUGUACCCUGUUGGUCAAGUUGUCUAAUCUCUCAGUCAGGGUUUUUAUUAAGAUGUCUUUCUGAUGGGACUCUGACUCAUGGAGGUCAUGAGUCAGAGGGGCAGUUUCAACGUAUAUGGGAUUGGGAUUGUUGUUCCCAAAAGUAUGUGGGAUAUUUGUGUUUGGGGUUGUUUCUGGGACAGUUGGUUUGGUAUGUUGGUAAUAGUGGUGAAAUGGAAAUUGGGUAUUUUGGGCGUGGGGUGGUGGAAAGGCAUUUGGACGAAUGGGUUCAGGUGGGGAUAUAUGGAUUGGAGGAUUGUCUGGCGUGGCUGUUUGAUUAGGAGGAUUGUCUAUGUUUUCUCCAAAUUGGGUUCCAAGAGAGAUAGACAACUUGGCCAAAUCACGCAUGUUGGCUACCUCUUCUUCCAAUUGCGAAAUCUUGCGCUCGAGUCUUAGGAUAAGAUUAUUAUGAAGUUGUCCUCCCUCAGAAGCUUCUACCCUUUCAGUGGUGCUGUUGUCGUCAACCAUUUUUCCUUUGUCUUUUGAGCUUGCUCUUUGAGAAGAAGGAGAAGGGGGGUCCCUUUUGAUCGUGUAUGUGCCAGGAUGAAGGACAGAUCAACCUUAGGAAAUGGGAAAACAAUAGAAUCAAAAGAAAAGAGUUAGGGGUUAAGAUAAUAUCACAAUAUCAACACGUUGUUUUGAAAUAAACGCCCUAAAUGCAAGGAACCUCGUUGAGCCAGAGGUAGGCCUAAGCGACACAUAAGUGAUGCAUAAUAAUUAAUUCAAGCCUUAUUUGCCAAUUUGGAGUUUAGAGUUAGAUAAUAGAACAACUUUCGAUUAUUGAAAUAAUUUCUGUUUAUUACAUCAAUCUAAAGAUAACUAAAGGGCUAGGGAUAACAUAUGGGGAGUAAAGAGAAAUUAAAAUAAAAGCUUUAAUCAUGUUGCUCUCCAAUGUUAGGCACAAUCUGCUUCUUCAUUUCUAGGGUAAUGUCAUAAUCAGUGUUGAGGAGGUUGCGAGCCCAUCUUCUCUCUUUUUCAUCGCCAAAACCAGGAAGACCUCCUUCGCUUAAAUCUCUAUGCUCUGCAUCUUCUAAAAGCCAUACAUAAUAUUCAGGUGUGCAGAAGGGUCGGUGCUCUUGAACAUCGAUAGUUAUCACAUUCUUCCAUCUUCGCAGUAUGGUGUUCACUUGCGGUAAUUCUGACCCAAAGUCAUAUCCAUAGUGGCUCAUGUGGGAUCGUAGAGGUAUCAUUUGGAUCUGUCCGAAUUGUCGAAGGACUCGAAGUGGUGCGUAAGUUGCACACCGUUCAAACCGAUAAGCUCAAUGAAGUAAAGUUCAUUUCCUCUUAUGAUGGCACGUCGUGGCUUCAACCAAUAAUACUUCCAUUGGAUUUCAACGGCUGACCGCUCCUUUAGGUAUGUGAACCAGUCCUCUGUUCCCACAGGGGAGAUAAAAUGUUUCAUCCUUAGGGAUGGUUGAUAAUUUUGUUCCCCAUAGUCCCUCUGACGAUGUCUACUUUAUUAGCUCUUUGGUAGAAAUGUUCGACGGCCCAAAGUUGCAGCAGAAAGUUGCACCCUUCAAAGUAUCUUUUGCCUUUGGUGCAUGCAGUCAAAGCUCUUAGAAUUUCUGCGAGUAUCAUAGGGACCAAGGUUUUCCCACCUCGAGCCAACAUACGAACCACAUAACAUAAGCCGGUGUGGAUCUUUCUCCUUCUCUAGGAAAAACCAAUGAGCCUAAUAGGGCGACAGCGAAUGCAUUAAGACGAUACCUUUCCCAUUUUGCAGAAGAGCAAGCAAAUUCUCUAUGAAAGUUUUGAUGACCUUCCUCAUCCCCAAAGCGUGAAUAUAAGAACUCUAAAGAAAUCCAACCUUCUUUCAGACAAAGUAGAUUUGGAUUAUGACACAUGCCCAUUUGCUUCAAAAAGAUCUUGGACUUGGCUUGUGUGGAACAAUCAUUUCCAACUCUUUGUAUGCGAGACCCAUGAAUCCUCCAACUUCUUCUAUUGUUGGAGUUAGCUCAAAAUCCCUGAACUUGAAGACUAACCUCUCAGUGUCCCAGAAUUUCAACAAUGCCUUGAUUAAGUGACGAUCUGACUCUACGGAGAUCAAAGCAGUGAGGCCGCCUAACAAUUCAUUUGCUUCUAACUCUCGAUUUUUUUGAAUAUCUUUCCACCAAGUCUUCAAAAUGGGAUUAACUUUGACCACCAUUUGCGUGUUGGGAAAGUGGGGUGAGCCAUGACUCUGCAAACAAAGUAACAACAACUUCUAAACUCCAUUUUNNNNNNNNNNNNNNNNNNNNNNNNNNNNNNNNNNNNNNNNNNNNNNNNNNNNNNNNNNNNNNNNNNNNNNNNNNNNNNNNNNNNNNNNNNNNNNNNNNNNUGCAAAGAAUUUCCGUAAAUCCUCCAAAUGAUUUUAAACUUUCCUUUGAUUUGAUGAUGACAUCAUUCCACAUAAACCUCAAUUUCCUUAUGGAUCAUGUCGUGAAACAAAGUAGUCAUCGCUCUCAUGUACGUAGCUCCAGCGUUCUUUAGUCCAAAAGGCAUCACCUAUAGUUAUAGACGCCCCACGGCGUGAUGAAAGAGGUUUUCUCAGCGUCGUCUUUGUGCAUCUCAAUUUGAUGAUAGCCGGCAAAGCAAUCCACAAAUGACUGAGUUUCGUGCUUAGCACAAUUAUCAAUCAGUAUGUGUAUGUUUGGUAAUGGAAAGUUAUCUUUAGGGCUAGCUUUAUUGAGAUCUCGGUAAUCCACGCAAACUCUGACCUUGCCGUCUUUCUUGGGCACUGGAACGACAUUUGCAAGCCAAGUUGGGUAUUCUGUCACUUGGAGUAUCCCAACAUCUAAUUGCUUUGAUACUUCUUCUUUGAUUUUCAAACUCAUCUCGGGCUUGUAUUUUCUCAGCUUCUGUUUUACCGGAGGAUAUGCUGGAUCAGUGGGUAGUCGAUGGGCUACGAUUGCAGUACUUAGCCCUGUCAUGUCUGCGUAGGACCACGCGAAAAUAUCCUUAUUCUCUAUGAGAAACUCGGUAUACUCUUUCUUGUCUUCUUUUGUCAUAUGGAUGCUUACUCGGGUUUCUUGUAUCACCUCUGCAUUUCCCAAAUUCACCACUUCUGUCUCUACCAAAUUUGGAUUGGGUUUUUCCUCGAAUUCCUCAACCCUUUUGAUUAACUCCUCGGGAACCUCAUUGUCUUCGACUUCUUCUAAGUCAUUAAGGUUAAGCUGAGCAGUCUCAUUGUAUGCCACAAUCUCAGAUUCGACAUUUUUAUAAUGAAUUUUGCUGGUGAGAAGAAAGAAAAAAAAUAGUAAAAAUUAAAUACAAGACAAAAAAAAUGGGAAAAGAACUUUAUUGAUAAAGAUUUGAAAAUUUCAUAAGUCCUCAUUUGAAAGCAAUACAUGGGACGGGAAUUAAACGUUUAUUAAAACUCCUUUAUUUGAAUUAAAAUUUGAUAGAAAAACAUCUUCCAAGGCUACCCAGAUGCUCGACGAGGUCUGGAUGGAGUCGAGGUCCAGUUGCUGACGCUGAUCUUUGCCUCCUUGCUUCCACUAGGGCCCCCUUUCUCCUCCUCGUUGAUCACGACGUUGCAAACUUUCCCUUCUUCUUUGGUUAGCGAUAACCCCUUCAAGUCGUCUGAGAUCUCAUCAAUAUUGUCUCCCAUGAAACCUGCUGAUCGAAAUGAUUGAUACAAUGGCGGUAUGGGUUUCUUCAAUGGAUAGUAGUACCCAUCUCUAGGUGGUCGCCAAUCGAGCCAUUCUUCGGUGGUGUAUUUAUAACCCAAACCAAAAGUGGUGGAAUGUCGAACAGGCUGUAUAGGUUCGACUAUCCCUUGUAAUUUAGCCCCCAAACCUUUCCCAAGCUCGAAACCGAACCAGGCCAUCAUAUCUAUGAUUUUUUGGCUGAACCAAGGUUGCAACUCAAUAUUACCAACAAGCUCCACUGUAUGGUACAUUUCGCCAUCCAUAUUCUCUCUUCCUUCAAUCGUGUAUACAGGAUGCCCUUUUCCCCAUGGACCACAACCUCUUCGUAAUCCCAUUCAAACUUCAGGCAUUGGUGAAGAGUAGAUGGAACCGCUCCAGCCAUAUGAAUCCAUGGACGACCCAAUAAUAAGUUGUACGAUGAAGGGAUGUCCAAAAUUUGGAAAGCUAUGGGGAAAGUGACAGGACCAAUGAGCAUGUCCAAGGUUAUCUCCCCAAUAGUGCCUCUCUGAGAGCCGUCAAAUGCCCUCACAUUCAUCUUCCAUGUCUGAAUUUUUGCACUAUCCACACCCAGCCUCGUCAGUGUGCUCAGAGGGCAAAUGUUUAAACCUGAACCUGCAUCAACUAAUGCUUUGUUUAUCACCUUAUCCUGAUACUGAACCGAAAUGUACAAAGCUUUAUUGUGAGUUGUUCCUUCGAUUGGCAGUUCAUCUUUGUGAAAAGAUAUUUUGUAAGCCUCAAAGACCUGCCCCACCAUUUGGGAUACCUCUCCAUGAGUGAUGUUAGACGGGACAUAAGCUUCACCAAGGAUCUUCAGAAGGGCAUCUCGAUGAGUUUCGGAAGAUUGUAGUAACUCCAGAAUUGAUAUUUGGGAAGGGGUUUUACUCAGCUGCUCAAUGACAGAGUAUUCUUUAGCUUUAACCUUUUUCCAAAUACUUUGAUCCUCGAGCUCUACGAUUGGCGCUUUGGAUUUGCUAGAGCUUCCCUGAACCAAAUUUUCAGAAGUGUAAAUUCUUCCAGAUCUGGUGACCCCUGUUGCAACAUCUGUCUCUUCCACAUUUGUUUCUCUUUUGUUGUAAUCCCAAGGUACAGCAUGUGUGUCACAUUGUAUUGGGGAGGAUGCCUUAUAGACAGCGAAUGGUGGUCUGGGUGCAGCAACUUCUACUUCAAAUGGGGCGAGUCCUUGCACUAUUAGUGGUGCCUGGGCAGUGGUAGGCAUGGCUUCCUCUGUUUCGACGGCCCAGAUAGAUUCUUCCCAAUCCCAGACAUCACCAGCUUCCACCAUGUUGACUUGAUGGUUAGGGAGAGGAUUAUUCGCAACAUUCGGUGUAGGAUCCUUCAGUUGGAUGGUUUUGUAUCAAUCAACAUUUGAACCUUAUCCUUAAGGGCUCUGCAAACUUCGGUGGUGUGGCCCUUCAUCCCAGAAUGGUAGGCGCAGACCUUGUUAGGGUCGUACCAUUUCGCGCGAACGUCCACAGGUAAUGCAGGAAUUGGAGAGACGUACCCAGCUUGUUUCAGUCUCUCAUAAAGUUGUGCUAUGGGUUCAGCCAAAGGGGUAUAGGUUUUUGUAGGUCUUCUUUCAUAGGAAGGUCUGUUUCGGUAAUUUGGUGUUUGAGUGGGUGGUGGAGUUUGGAAGUGUGUUGGUUGAACAUUAUAGACAGGAUAUGAGGCAUGCAAAUAUUGAGGAGGAGCAUUUUGGUAAUAUAUUGGCAUGGGUUGGGGAGAUAUAGGGGUGGAGCUGAGGGAUGUUGAGGGUAUGGGGUGUGAAGGUAUGGGGUGUGAGGGUAUGGGGAUGGUGGUGGUUUGUUGUCUUGUGCCUCAAAGGGGUCCUAGUUCCAUGAGCCAUCAUUACAGAACCUAUUUUCUUUCGACUCUCUGUCAUUCCACCAGAUUGCAGAGCCUUGUUGGUUGCUUGUAAAGCCUCCAAGUUGAUGAUAGUCCCAUUCUUUAUGCCUUCUUCAAUUCUUUCGCCUAGUUUGAUGAUUUCAGCGAAACUCUUUUCAGCCACCAGCAUCAUUCGGUCAUAGUAUUGUGGUUCUUGGGCACGGAUGAAAUAGUCUUUCAUUUGAGAUUCUUCCAUAGGGGGUCUGGCCCUAGCCGCCUCAGACCUCCAUCUUAUGGCAUAUUCUCUGAAGGAUUCACUUGGUUUCUUCUUUAGGUUCUGAAUGUAAAACCAAUCAGGCGCAUUUUCAAUAUUGAAACCAAACCUAUUCAUGAAGUCAGUUGCCAUAUCAACCCAUUUUAUCCAUUUCCGCGAGUCUUGCUCAAUGUACCAUGAUAGGGCCUCCCCAGUAAGACUCCUCAUGAACAACUUCAUGAGUAUCCUCUCAUCUCUCCCCACCCCUACAAGUUUGUCGCAAUACAUUCGUAGGUGGGCUUUGGGAUCCCCAAUGCCAUUGAACGUCUCAAACUUCGGAAGCUUGUAUCCUUCGGGCAGUUCCACAUCAGGAUGCAUGCACAGAUCUUCAUAGCCCAAUCCUUCCAACCUUUUGUUUCCUUCCACGUGUUGUACCCUGUUGGUCAAGUUGUCUAAUCUCUCAGUCAGGGUUUUUAUUAAGAUGUCUUUCUGAUGGGACUCUGACUCAUGGAGGUCAUGAGUCAGAGGGCAGUUUCAACGUAUAUGGGAUUGGGAUUGUUGUUCCCAAAAGUAUGUGGGAUAUUUGUGUUUGGGGUUGUUUCUGGGACAGUUGGUUUGGUAUGUUGGUAAUAGUGGUGAAAUGGAAAUUGGGUAUUUUGGGCGUGGGGUGGUGGAAAGGCAUUUGGACGAAUGGGUUCAGGUGGGGAUAUAUGGAUUGGAGGAUUGUCUGGCGUGGCUGUUUGAUUAGGAGGAUUGUCUAUGUUUUCUCCAAAUUGGGUUCCAAGAGAGAUAGACAACUUGGCCAAAUCACGCAUGUUGGCUACCUCUUCUUCCAAUUGCGAAAUCUUGCGCUCGAGUCUUAGGAUAAGAUUAUUAUGAAGUUGUCCUCCCUCAGAAGCUUCUACCCUUUCAGUGGUGCUGUUGUCGUCAACCAUUUUUCCUUUGUCUUUUGAGCUUCUCUUUGAGAAGAAGGAGAAGGGGGGUCCCUUUUGAUCGUGUAUGUGCCAGGAUGAAGGACAGAUCAACCUUAGGAAAUGGGAAAACAAUAGAAUCAAAAGAAAAGAGUUAGGGGUAAGAUAAUAUCACAAUAUCAACACGUUGUUUUGAAAUAAACGCCCUAAAUGCAAGGAACCUCGUUGAGCCAGAGGUAGGCCUAAGCGACACAUAAGUGAUGCAUAAUAAUUAAUUCAAGCCUUAUUUGCCAAUUUGGAGUUUAGAGUUAGAUAAUAGAACAACUUUCAAUUAUUGAAAUAAUUUCUGUUUAUUACAUCAAUCUAAAGAUAACUAAGGGCUAGGGAUAACAUAUGGGGAGUAAAGAGAAAUAAAUAAUAAAAGCUUUAAUCAUGUUGCUCUCCAAUGUUAGGCACAAUCUGCUUCUUCAUUUCUAGGGUAAUGUCAUAAUCAGUGUUGAGAAGGUUGCGAGCCCAUCUUCUCUCUUUUUCAUCGCCAAAACCAGGAAGGCCUCCUUCGCUUAAAUCUCUAUGCUCUGCAUCUUCUAAAAGCCAUACAUAAUAUUCAGGUGUGCAGAAGGGUCGGUGCUCUUGAACAUCGAUAGUUAUCACAUUCUUCCAUCUUCGCAGUAUGGUGUUCACUUGCGGUAAUUCUGACCCAAAGUCAUAUCCAUAGUGGCUCAUGUGGGAUCGUAGAGGUAUCAUUUGGAUCUGUCCGAAUUGUCGAAGGACUCGAAGUGGUGCGUAAGGUUGCACACCGUUCAAACCGAUAAGCUCAAUGAAGUAAAGUUCAUUUCCUCUUAUGAUGGCACGUCGUGGCUUCAACCAAUAAUACUUCCAUUGGAUUUCAACGGCUGACCGCUCCUUUAGGUAUGUGAACCAGUCCUCUGUUCCCACAGGGGAGAUAAAAUGUUUCAUCCUUAGGGGAUGGUUGAUAAUUUUGUUCCCCAUAGUCCCUCUGACGAUGUCUACUUUAUUAGCUCUUUGGUAGAAAUGUUCGACGGCCCAAAGUUGCAGCAGAAAGUUGCACCCUUCAAAGUAUCUUUUGCCUUUGGUGCAUGCAGUCAAAGCUCUUAGAAUUUCUGCGAGUAUCAUAGGGACCAAGGUUUUCCCACCUCGAGCCAACAUACGAACCACAUAACAUAAGCCGGUGUGGAUCUUUCCUCCUUCUCUAGGAAAAACCAAUGAGCCUAAUAGGGCGACAGCGAAUGCAUUAAGACGAUACCUUUCCCAUUUUGCAGAAGAGCAAGCAAAUUCCCUAUGAAAGUUUUGAUGACCUUCCUCAUCCCCAAAGCGUGAAUAUAAGAACUCUAAAGAAAUCCAACCUUCUUUCAGACAAAGUAGAUUUGGAUUAUGACACAUGCCCAUUUGCUUCAAAAAAGAUCUUGGACUUGGCUUGUGUGGAACAAUCAUUUCCAACUCUUUGUAUGCGAGACCCAUGAAUCCUCCAACUUCUUCUAUUGUUGGAGUUAGCUCAAAAUCCCUGAACUUGAAGACUAACCUCUCAGUGUCCCAGAAUUUCAACAAUGCCUUGAUUAAGUGACGAUCUGACUCUACGGAGAUCAAAGCAGUGAGGCCGCCUAACAAUUCAUUCGCUUCUAACUCUCGAUUUUUUUGUAUAUCUUUCCACCAAGUCUUCAAAAUGGGAUUAACUUUGACCACCAUUUGCGUGUUUGGAAAGUGGGGUGAGCCAUGACUCUGCAAACAAAGUAACAAACAACUUCUAAACUCCAUUUUGGCAAUGUUGGCUUGAUUUAAUUAUUAUGAUCACGUUGACACAUAAAUAUGCAAUUUGUCUAAGGGUGUUGGGGCCCUUCAGACGAGAAGGUGGCUACUAAUUACAUGGAUUGACACCAAGGGUCAAACCUCCUAGGGCUUAUGCAGCAUAUAUGACUUAACCAGGACUUCUAAGAGUUGGCUUGACACGGACUUGAAAGGGAUUCUAUGCGAGAGGCUCGUGGCUUCGCGGUAGUAAAACUAUCCACUACGUCCACGCAUAUGCCGACUCUCUAUAAUGGGUAUUUGUAUAAGAUUGGAGUAGUUGUGAGAGGUGCAAAGGCACAACAUCACGAGAACAAAAUAAAAAGGAAGAGGGUCCCAAUUGGGGGAAGUAUGAGCGGGAUGCCAAUUUAUUAAAGCAGUAAACAUUUAGCAUUUAAAUUGGAAAACGGUAACAUAUAGGCAGUUUAUAAACAAUAAAUAAAUAAGCAUAAAUAAAGGAAAGUAGACAUAUAAAGAUAUGAAAACUACGCAAAUAAAGCAAGAGGAUACGAGAUUAAACAUGUAAACAAAUAAGGGGAGAGGGAAGAGGUGAAACAUGAUAAUAAACAAUUAAGGGAAAGGGAAAGGGAGGAACAUGAAGAUGAGAUAAUAAAUAGGGCAACAAAACAUAGUAAGCACCUAAUGAAUAAAAUAAACCCCACAUAAAUAAGCAGUUAACACGUAAUGGUAAGAACCUAACAUCCCCAGCGGAGUCGCCAUUUUGUCGCGCCCCAUUUUCGCGGAAAACGGGUUUUGUGCGCGACCUAACAACUCUUUUGGGAUUUCGAGUUUUUUGGAGUCGCCACCUAACGAAUUAAGGCGCGUUAGGGCGCCUAUCUAACCUAACUAAGUCUAACUAAGGUCAACGGGCCAGAGAUUAGGGUAAGGGUUCAAAUUACCUCGAAGGGAAGGUGUUAGGCAUCCCUCGAGGUCCACAAGUGUGGGUCCCGGCCGUAUCUCAUGCAAUCUAUGUGGGGGUACAAAUAGCAAUCAAGGUCGUUUAUUAAUUUAUUUAAUCUUACUAAGUGAUAACAAAUACGAAACAAUUAAGACUAUUAUUCUUAUUUAGAUAUGUAAAGCUAGGUGAUGGCAAUAAAUAUUUAUUUUGACAUACGACACUAUGUUAUAAACAAAAUUGGCAAAUAUUAAGCAAUUAAUAUGUGCGAAAAUAAAGUUUGAAAAUUGAUAAGUUUUGAAUAGGAAUUUUUAUUUUAAAAAAUGUUUGUUUCUUUAUAGGGAUGAUGCCACGAUAUUAUUGAUCGUGCUCCUCCACCAUAGAAACAAUUUUGAUUUGAGGUCGGUCUAAAAAUAGUUAUGUUUUGAAAAAUGAUUUAAAAUAUUUAGUUCACACGUAGGCACAUAAACAAUUACAUAUAAAUGCACAUAAUUCUUUUUGAAAUUCAUGGGAAGUGGUACUUCCGGGGACGCAUCGGUUUUAAAAAAUUGGAACUAGACCUCGUAGUUCCUUUGACUUUCCCACUAACGAUAGGUUAGGAGAUAGUACUUUAUAAUUUAUUUCAAAAUAAAGUAGAGUCAUAAUCAAUCCAAAAUUUAAAGAAAGAUUGAAUAAUGACUUUUUUUAAAAAAAAAAUUAUGUUACAAGGUUUUGAAAUGUUUUUUAAAGCCAAGUUAAAUGCAUGAAAUGAUUCUAAGUUAGUAUUAAGAAGAAAAAAAAAUAUUGCAUCACGAAUGUGGAAAACAAAUGGGAUUACUAGUUAAAUAAUAUUAAUUAAUUUUAGGGGAGGACUCAAAUAUGCACAAACAAAUUUUAUUCUCUUAUUUACAAACCUAUAGACAUGAUUUCUAGGUGUUCAAAAAAAGUAACAUAUAUAUGCAUGAUUUCGUAAAUGGUAUGAACAAAUUAAACCUUAGACAUGGUUUCUACAUGAUAAGACAAAUGAGAAUUUAUAAUAUUUUAACAUCUAACAACCUACUAGAUUUAUUAGGAUUUGAUUUUAACAUUUAAAAAUUAAUGGACUCUAGUUCUUAUUUUUUUAAGGCUUGUUAACAAAAACGUCAAGCAAAUUGAAAAUUGAUUAGAUUAUAACACCUACAAAUAUCAAAUCUAGGUGGUUAAAGACAAACCUAUAGGCAUGAUUUCUAAAAAAAAUAAUGAGCAAGUAAGCAUAUAAAUCCCCCUCCACUAGACGACCCCCAAAUAACUUUAUUAUAUGAUCUUAGGGUUACAAUUGUUACAACAUUCGAAUAAAUAAAAUAGCGGAAAAAAUAAAAUAUAUAGACAUAUAUACAUUCAAACAAAUAAACAAAUCCUUCUUCAGUUAAUCUUCAACUUGAACUUCAAAUAUGAAACCUGUUAAACAAAACAAAAUGAUUCACCUUGUACUCGAACAAAGCAGGAAAAUAGCGGAGAAAAGCACUUGAAUAUUUGCCGAAAUAUUAAUAUAUUGUUUAAAGUAGCAAGAGAGCAAUGAGAGAAGGGAGAGUGAUGAGAGAAUUUUUGGUUGAAAGUGAAUGGGUAUAUUUUAGAGAAUGAGAGGAGGGGGUCCUUUUUAUAUAACAAAGAGGGGUAACAAAUAAGGGGAAAAAUGUUUAAAGGAAUCAAUUAAUUAUCACAUUUUCCUUAUUUUAAAGGAGAGCC
rnacentral:lncRNA from 1 species